rnacentral:tRNA from 80 species
GCGCCAAGCAGGCCCUGGUGGCCCGCGCCCUGCAAUGGCGCCGCGAGCAACCCGCGCUGUUCGAACACGGCGCUUGCCGCU